rnacentral:tRNA from 2 species
UACCCGGUGGUGUAACGGUAGCACAAGGGUUUUUGGUACCCUUAGUCUAGGUUCAAAUCCUAGCCGGGUAG